rnacentral:rRNA from 1 species
UACGUAGGGUGCAGGCGUUAAUCGGAUUUACUGGGCGUAAAGCGUGCGCAGGCGGUUUGCUAAGACAGGUGUGAAAUCCCCGGGCUUAACCUGGGAACUGCGCUUGUAACUGGCAAGCUUGAGUGUGGCAGAGGGGGGUGGAAUUCCACGUGUAGCAGUGAAAUGCGUAGAGAUGUGGAGGAACACCGAUGGCGAAGGCAGCCCCCUGGGCUAACACUGACGCUCAUGCACGAAAGCGUGGGGAGCAAACAGG